UUAAAUUGAAGAGUUUGAUCAUGGCUCAGAUUGAACGCUGGCGGCAGGCCUAACACAUGCAAGUCGAACGGUAACAGGAAGCAGCUUGCUGCUUCGCUGACGAGUGGCGGACGGGUGAGUAAUGUCUGGGAAACUGCCUGAUGGAGGGGGAUAACUACUGGAAACGGUGGCUAAUACCGCAUAACGUCGCAAGACCAAAGAGGGGGACCUUCGGGCCUCUUGCCAUCAGAUGUGCCCAGAUGGGAUUAGCUUGUUGGUGAGGUAACGGCUCACCAAGGCGACGAUCCCUAGCUGGUCUGAGAGGAUGACCAGCCACACUGGAACUGAGACACGGUCCAGACUCCUACGGGAGGCAGCAGUGGGGAAUAUUGCACAAUGGGCGCAAGCCUGAUGCAGCCAUGCCGCGUGUAUGAAGAAGGCCUUCGGGUUGUAAAGUACUUUCAGCGGGGAGGAAGGUGUUGCGGUUAAUAACCGCAGCAAUUGACGUUACCCGCAGAAGAAGCACCGGCUAACUCCGUGCCAGCAGCCGCGGUAAUACGGAG
rnacentral:rRNA from 1 species